rnacentral:lncRNA from 1 species
AGGCUAAAACAAGAGCUGGGGGCUGGAUUCCAUUUAAGUGCUUGAUUCCAGAUUCAGAAUCAAGAUUUCCCAAUUACAAGACGAGGCAAUCAAGUGGGAAGAAAAUUAUGCGCUGACGGAGUGGCUGGUUCUCCGGGAAUAAUGUCUGGGAAGGAAGGGGUGUGAGAUGGGACAAGGAAUAACGUUUCCGUUCCUUUGAUGUCUUCUUUGAACUUGCAUUUUGUAGCACAUUAAGGUGUGCUUUAAGACGCUGUUGUGGAUUUUCUUUUUUCCUGUAUUCCUCCGGAAUCCUCACUUCCGUUUCUUGAUAAAUGGACCAGGUGAACCUUUGCUUCCAGAAGUUCUUCAUAAGAAACAGCGGUGCAAAACAGAAGGCGCCAUUGUGCCCCGCGUUUACGGGUCCGGCAGGAUGGCCGGGGCAGCGUAUCUCUCUACUUCUCGAGGUUACUUUCGGGAAUCUCAUUCUGGCCCACGACUGCUGUAAUCGAUGCAGCACUGAAAGCUGCGUUUCUGUCAGUGCUGCCUUCGGGCCUCCGGGCACAGCAUCCUGCCCAGCCCAUUUCUUCCUGGUAGCCGUAUAGAUCUACUACUCUACAACUGGAUUUGGAAAAAAUGUUACCAUUUUUUUCUUCUGGGUAAAAAAAGAUAUUUUCCUUUAUUAUCUUUUAGUUUCUAAAAAUAGGCUGGAAUUAAAUGUCGUGUACCUUCGGAAUUCGAUUUAUAAACACACUGCGUAUCUAGGCGACUCGCAUUGUCGUUGUUUAUACUCUAGGAAUUCCUUCCAUGGCAACUGCGCGCAGGUCACAGCUAUGGAGCUGCUUACGACGGGCCGAGUCACAGUGUCCACAGGCCGAAUCACCUCCGAAGUCCUUCUCCCCACGGCUCUGCUGAGCACCAGGGUCUCUUCACCUGGCGCCCCUCCCCGCCUCAGCCUUUCUGGAGGCCAGGAAACUGCGCCUGCAUCCCAGCCUCCCUUACAGGCCUCGGCAGCCCUGCCUGCUGUGAACCUGGAUGCAUCCUUAUCUCCUGCCCUGUGGCUUCAUGGGCAGUCUCAGCGGAUCAGCUGCUGCUCAGCAGUGAAUAUGCUCUGCAUUCACCGCACCAGACAAGCAACUCACCUGCACACGCCAGCAGCCACUCAGCCCCUCCGAAACGGUAGCCGGAAGGGGACCGUGGGGUCGCAGCAGACACAGCAGUUGGAAGAAGGCUGGGUUCUAGCACUGAGCUAAGAGCUUGGCUUUUCCUGUAGCCAGAUGUGUUAGAAAGACUUGGCCCUGAGUUUUAAAAUAUUUUGUAAUAGCAAACAGAAGCAUUGGUGUAAUCAAGCACACAAGCAAAAUGUUAAGAAUUUUGAGAAUAAAACUCAUUAAGAUAAAUGAUAAUACGGGGCAAAAGCUCUGCAAUUGCGGGACAUCUCCUUGGAGCAGAUCACACUGUGGCUGAGAUUCUUGGUGAUUUGCUCACCGUGAUUCGGUGACCUGUGCAGUAGCUGCCCAGCUCAGCAUAGCUGCACUAACAUUGGCUGUACACAGGACAGGAGCCAGCUGUGGAAAUUUACACCUACACGGAGAGCAGAGAAGCGCCGCCUCACCUUCCA